UACAUGGGGUGCAAACGUUGCUCGGAAUUAUUGGGCGUAAAGCGCGCGUAGGCGGUUAUUCAAGUCGGAUGUGAAAGCCCUCGGCUUAACUGAGGAAGUGCACCCGAAACUGAGUAGCUAGAGUACCAAAGAGGGUCGCGGAAUUCCCGGUGUAGAGGUGAAAUUCGUAGAUAUCGGGAGGAACACCGGUGGCGAAGGCGGCGACCUGGGUGGAUACUGACGCUGAGGCGCGAAAGCGUGGGGAGCAAACAGG
rnacentral:rRNA from 1 species